rnacentral:rRNA from 1 species
AAGGCCCUCGGGUUGUAAAGCACUUUCGGUGGGGAAGAAAGUCUCAAGGCUAAUACCAUUGAGUGUUGACGUUACCCACAGAAGAAGCACUGGCUAACUCUGUGCCAGCAGCCGCGGUAAUACAGAGAGUGCAAGCGUUAAUCGGAAUCACUGGGCGUAAAGCGCGCUUAGGUGGAUAUUUAAGUCAGAUGUGAAAGCCCUGGGCUUAACCUAGGAAUUGCAUCUGAUACUGGAUGUCUCGAGUAUGGUAGAGGGAAGUGGAAUUUCCGGUGUAGCGGUGAAAUGCGUAGAUAUCGGAAAGAACACCAGUGGCGAAAGCGGCUUCCUGGACCAAUACUGACACUGAGGUGCGAAAGCGUGGGGAGCAAACAGGAUUAGAGACCCUGGUAGUCCACGCCGUCAACGAUGAGAACUAGCUGUUGGAAAGUUUACUUUCUAGUAGCGAAGCUAACGCGUUAAGUUCUCCGCCUGGGGAGUACGGCCGCAAGGUUAAAACUCAAAGAAAUUGACGGGGGCCCGCACAAGCGGUGGAGCAUGUGGUUUAAUUCGAUGCAACGCGAAAAACCUUACCUACCCUUGACAUCCUCGG